rnacentral:tRNA from 1 species
GGUGGUUCAGUGGUAGAACGCUUGCCUUGCAUGCAUGAGGCCCUGGGUUCAAUUCCUCAGCACCA